rnacentral:rRNA from 1 species
GUUUUCGGAUCGUAAAGCUCUGUUGUAAGAGAAGAACGAGUGUGAGAGUGGAAAGUUCACACUGUGACGGUAUCUUACCAGAAAGGGACGGCUAACUACGUGCCAGCAGCCGCGGUAAUACGUAGGUCCCGAGCGUUGUCCGGAUUUAUUGGGCGUAAAGCGAGCGCAGGCGGUUAGAUAAGUCUGAAGUUAAAGGCUGUGGCUUAACCAUAGUACGCUUUGGAAACUGUUUAACUUGAGUGCAAGAGGGGAGAGUGGAAUUCCAUGUGUAGCGGUGAAAUGCGUAGAUAUAUGGAGGAACACCGGUGGCGAAAGCGGCUCUCUGGCUUGUAACUGACGCUGAGGCUCGAAAGCGUGGGGAGCAAACAGGAUUAGAUACCCUGGUAGUCCACGCCGUAAACGAUGAGUGCUAGGUGUUAGACCCUUUCCGGGGUUUAGUGCCGCAGCUAACGCAUUAAGCACUCCGCCUGGGGAGUACGACCGCAAGGUUGAAACUCAAAGGAAUUGACGGGGGCCCGCACAAG